rnacentral:rRNA from 1 species
AUGACCGGCACGCGCAGUACUCCAAGGGCCGCGACCCCUAUAAAGUCCCCGGCGUCCAGUACGAUCGAUCACAAUUCACAAGUGCACAGCUCAAGGCAAACAACAGAUAUUAGACGAGCAGCAAGGAAUCGUUGGUGCCUGUCUUCCCACCUGAUCGAAGCAUCCGUCAGAGGAUCCAUGGCCAUGGAGAGGUUCUUCACUGCGCUCGUCUUCUGCGAGGCGCCGCUGGACAGCUACGGCACAUCGGUUCUCACCGCGGGCGCGGUCAACAGGCUGGUCUCAGGCGGCAGCGGCGCAACGAAGCCGGCGGCCACGGCUAACAAGGCAGAGGCUGAGAAGGAGCAGGGUUUCUUCUCCGCCAAGCCUGCGCUGCAGCGCCGUGCUGGGUUUGAGCUCGCGUUCGACGGCCUCAAUUGCUUCGACACCGUCGUCAUGCACUGA